GCGGGCAUCGUAUAAAGGCUAUUACCUUAGCCUUCCAAGCUGAUGAUAUGAGUUCGAUUCUCAUUGCCCGCUCCA
rnacentral:tRNA from 1 species